rnacentral:rRNA from 1 species
UACGUAGGGUGCAAGCGUUGUCCGGAAUUAUUGGGCGUAAAGAGCUCGUAGGCGGUUCGUCGCGUCGGCUGUGAAAUCCCGAGGCUCAACCUCGGGUCUGCAGUCGAUACGGGCGGACUGGAGUUCGGCAGGGGAGACUGGAAUUCCUGGUGUAGCGGUGAAAUGCGCAGAUAUCAGGAGGAACACCUGUGGCGAAGGCGGCCGACUGGGCCGACCCUGACGCUGAGGCGCGAAGGCGUGGGGAGCGAACGGG